GUUUCGCUGAUUCAACCCGCCCGCUGUCGUGCUUCCUUUGUCGUCAGUCUGUUUCACCUCCUCUCUCCUGCUUCGUCUUCCUCUCCAGCACGGAGAGCUUCAACUCUUGGACCCUCGACAUCCCCUUGACGAGCAACCGGACUCGCGGCAGGUCGGGCGAACUCAGCGGAUGGCGAGCGGCGGACUCGCGGGCACGGGCGCGAGCAGGCAAGCGGCGUGCUGCCGCCGCGGCCACUCUCUCCGCCGGCGCACAGCACGGCCAGGGCUGCUCGAAUUGAAUCGACGGUGGACGCGCUCAAGGAGCUCUGCCGCCGGCGCAAGAUUGGAGCGAGCCGUUCUGGAUGGAGCCGCUGUCGCGGAAGCGCAAGGGCGCGCCCAUCGAGUGCUCCGCCGCCGCCAGGUCCCUCCAAGAUGCCCCCUCCCGCAACAGCUCCUGCCAGCAAUGGAACCGCGGUGGCAGAGGGCGCCGGGUGAAGCGAAACGGGGCAGGAGGUGGAGGCCGGCUACGCCGCCUUCGCGCACAGACUGCAGCAGCUUACGGGAGGAGGUGCGGCAGCGGUCAUGAACUCAACACCAGCUGAUUAUAGAUGUAUAAUUUCUCAAGGCUGACGAGAUGCAUUUUUUGUUCCACAUAUGCUGCAUCUCUUGUGCCCACUCCUGAUUCUGCACGGCCAAUAUGGUGUUAAUUGUUUUACUUACCCUUCAAUGUGCUAAAGAUGUAAAACGUGAUGGAAUUCAGCCCUCUUGUGGGUGAAUCAAAGUGCAGAUGCUAAGAUGUAUCCAUAGCCACGUAAUUGUUCAGGUUAGUGUUGUUUUACUUGAAAUGUGCUCAGUGCUCUGUUGUGGGACUAUAUGCUGCUUACUGAAAGGUCAAAUGUGAAACCUUGUUCUUUCUGUCGGUGAUGAUGUUGGAGCUUUCUCCUGCCUAUUUUGCAGCAAGGAAAUAACACAGACGAACAAAAAUUAUUGCAAUUUUUUUCCUUUUCAGGAGCUAUUUUACUUCUCACAUACAUUAACCAAGGUAUUAUCGUGUCUUCCUUUGGUUCAUUAUGCAGAUGCUAAAUGGUUAUGAAAGAGUUCCAAUUCCAUGCUAUGCUUGUAUGUUGUGAACAUCUAAGCAGUCAUUAGAAUGCAAGCUUAGUUUCUUAAGCCAUGUGUCAGCACCAUGUGUUCAUUGACUAUUUCAUGUUUGUAUUUGGAGUCGAGUUUUUGUUUGGGUAGUAUCAGGCCUCUCUAUAUUACUAUCAGUGGCUGCAGUGCAGACUGCAGUACGUGUGCUACUUCCAAUGUUGUAAUUUUGAGUGGAGUUCACAUAUUUCCUAGCUUUUCCCCUUCUCUGCCACUCCACCUGCAGGUUGAGUGUGUACAAUUGAGUGGUGUUCUUUUUGUGUAUAUCGGCAAUAUGAUUGUGUGCAUAAUUAAUAUUCAUUAUUUAGGAAACAAUGAAACAAC